rnacentral:rRNA from 1 species
AUUGAACGCUGGCGGAAUGCUUUACACAUGCAAGUCGAACGGCAGCACGGACUUCGGUCUGGUGGCGAGUGGCGAACGGGUGAGUAAUACAUCGGAACGUGCCCAGGCGUGGGGGAUAACGUAGCGAAAGCUACGCUAAUACCGCAUACGAUCCAAGUAUGAAAGCGGGGGAUCGCAAGACCUCGCGCGAUUGGAGCGGCCGAUGGCAGAUUAGGUAGUUGGUAGGGUAAAGGCCUACCAAGCCGACGAUCUGUAGCUGGUCUGAGAGGAUGAUCAGCCACACUGGGACUGAGACACGGCCCAGACUCCUACGGGAGGCAGCAGUGGGGAAUUUUGGACAAUGGGCGCAAGCCUGAUCCAGCCAUUCCGCGUGCAGGAUGAAGGCCUUCGGGUUGUAAACUGCUUUUGUACAGAACGAAAAGGCUCUGGUUAAUACCCGGGGCUAAUGACGGUACUGUAAGAAUAAGCACCGGCUAACUACGUGCCAGCAGCCGCGGUAA